GCUCUAAGCUUUCGAAGUGAAGCCUCUGACAUUGUGAGAACAGACUCUGGAGCCAGGUUGCUUGGAUUCAAAUCUAGACACCACCACUCACUGGCUGCGUGAGCUCGGGCAAGUUAUUCCACUUCUCUGACCCUCAUUUUUCUCAUCUCCAAAAUGGGUAUGAUAAUAGUACCUACCUGCUAGGAUUGUUAUGAGGACUAAUUGAGUUAAUUCACAAAGUGGAUUUCAGAACCCUAUAAAAACAAAAUUAAAAACCCUGCAGGGCGAAUGCCCAACCAAAUGAAAAUUUUUGCUAAAAGUUGGUGAAAAUAUAUAAGAGUAGAGGGAAGCAGAGACAGGUUGUGGGAACUCAAAUAAAUGAUAGGAAAUAUUGGAAAUCAGGUUGGGGGAAGUUUAUCUAUCUACAAUGUAUUUUUUGUAUUUUAGUCUCACCAUGAAUCGCUCAUGUGGUGGAACUUGAUAUCAUUAAAUUGACUACUCAAGACUCUACAGUGGAAAGUUCUCCAGACUCUUGCUACUUGGAUUGUGGUCUGUGGACCAGCAACAGUGGCAUUACCUGGGAGCCUGUUAGAAAUGCUGAGUCUCGGGUCCACUCCAGACCUACUGAAUCAGGAUCUGCAUUUAGCAGAAUCUGAAGCAUUUCUUGGUAGUGGGAGUUCAAUAAGUCAGUGACCCAUCUGAGCUGACAUCAGAGGAAGGAUCAAGGCUGCUCAGAAAAAGGAUCUAAUGUCCCUAGGGACACUAGAUGGUGGCCUCAAAGACACCCUCUUCCUCUGAAAGGAAAGAAAGACAGCCUGCUGACCAUGUGACUAUGCUACAGGCACAGGGCUGCCUGGUACAUCAAAGGCCCUCAAUAGAUGUUUUGUUGGAAGAAUGGAUCAACUAUACUUCUCAGCUAAUCUGAGCCCAAAGCAAGGAGGUAUUGACAGACUGCCCACAUACCCACAAAACUGAUAAACACGGUAUUUUGAAAGCAUGAAGUCAAUUGUUAG